AAUUCUGUAAAUUCGUUCCCUGCUGUGUGAAGGAGCACUUCCUUUUAUUGAUCCAGAAUUUACCUCCUGCAAGUUUCAAGUUUCAAGAUUCCUUCCCUCCCUUUCCUUUAUCUUUCCCUGGAACAAGUACCUGGGAAUAGCUCCAGUGACAGUCAAUGGGUGGAGCUGAGAAGCCACGCUGAAGAUUUGUCCAGAAGAAUAUUGAUCUUGGGGCGCUGAUCAAUG
rnacentral:lncRNA from 1 species